GACAGCAGCAUGACCUGCAAAGUAAGGUUUUGAAAGUUUUGCAAGCACCUGAUAUCAUAUCCCUUGAAAAUGGCAUACACAUUGAUGAAUUGGCUGGAAGAACUGGAGCACCAAGAACAAAUAUCAUGGCGGUUGUCAACUUACUCGCUGAUUCAGGCUUUGUCUGUUGGACCAUUGAUGACUUUCAUGUCAAGUGUGUGUGUAACGGUUGAUCAAUGCAGUAAUCUUCGGCGAUAUUCUAGCAAAUGUGAGAUUUAGUUUGGUAACAGAUACUAAACCAUGUUCAUGGCACACGCUGUAAGUAUGCACUAGUGCAAAUGGUCAAUGGUUGACGUGGCCUUUCGUUUGUACAAUUGGGUAGGUGAUACCAGUACCUCCUGUUUUACACUAGAAAGCUACAGGUGGGUUGAUCUGCUUAUUGCUGCAUAGUUAGGUUACUGUUUGCUGGGGC